rnacentral:lncRNA from 10 species
CUUCAUCCAAGGUCAAGCAGCACAGAAACUCCACUUGUUAAAUAUCUGACUGUGAGCGCCAUCCAGGAGGCCUCCUCACCAUCAAGUUCCAGCAGAUGGGUCAGCAGAUCUUCAAUGAACAAAAAAGUGCCAAGAUCGUUCCACCAGAUGGCGCCUGACCGUCAGAGUUGCGCUGAAAGGCUGGGGAAAUUCUGGGCUUGAGCGGCCACCGUGUGUGCGGUACCCUGCUCUAUUGGAGUUACCGGCUUGGAAAGAAACAUCGGUCCUUAACAACAUAUGCCAAUAGACUGCUACUCGGUAUAUUCUUUUAAGGGUAUAAUUUCACUGAAGGACGUAAGUUAAUGUUUAUAUCUGUGUUCGGUAAUGCUGACUGAAUUUCUCCGUUCUGGUUGAUUUAUUUCUAAUCAGUCAGCUCAUUGUGACAGCACCUUCUGAGUGGCUCGGGGUUCUGAUCCCACACCAGGAAAUCAUGGUAUGUUAUGAGGAUGCAGGAGUGCUCCUGACAAGGGAGGCUGGUUGUUGGCCUCACAGACUAUAUUUUAAGAGAGUGGUUCUUAAACUUUCGUGUGCAUCCGAAUCACCUGGAAAGGGUGUUAAGCCAGGGGUUGCAGAGCUCCAGCCCCGAGGCUCUGACUCAACAGAUAUGAUGCAUAGCCAGGAGAUUUCAGGCUGCCGACCAGGGACCACACUUUGAGAACCUCUGCUGCAUGACUAAGGGAUGGGUCUUGGAGUUAGACACUGGUUCAAACCCAAGCCUCUGAGAUAGUCAAGUAACCUGGGGCAGGUGACCCCGCUGUUUCAGUGGAGAGGCUGGUGGUGGUAAAAAUGAGUUGGAAUAGUCCGGGCAGCAGGUUAGCAGAGAGCCUGGUCUCCAGCGAGAAUCUGGACUUUGUGGAGUUCAAAGGCUGAACAAUUUUGAAAGAGAUUACAAAAGCGCAGAUGAAAAAUUAGGUGAAUAUUUAAAAAGCAGACCAAUGUCAUAAUUGCCAGAAAACCCAAUUGAAACAGCAUCAUAUUUUUAUUAAUUGCCUGACACAUCUCAUUAGUCAUUAUUUUUUGCUGCACUUUUCUCCUCAUCUUCUUUUCUCUCCAUUUGACAAUUUUAUAUACUAUGCUUUUCUAUAACAAAAUUAGAAAGUCUUAACUCUAGCAUGCUUGAUCAAGAUUUGUUUAUCAUUAUUAAUAGUUCGAGAAAUUUCUUUCAACUUCACAAUGAUGCCAUAUAAAGUUUUAGCGUUGUUAUCAAAUUAGGGAAAACGAUCAACUCUCUUUUGUAUAUGAGCUGUAUGAUUUCAGGGCAUUCCAAGUUUUCCUGCGCAAAUACUAAUCUUAAGUGCGUCUUGAAUUCUUGAUAGUCUAGCCAAUUAGUUGUGGAUGUCUUUUCCACAGUAUUUUAUGUUAUUGUAUUAUUGUAAUAUUGUAUACAAUAUUAUUGUAUUGUAUCCUUUCCCAUUUGCUACUGUGAAAGGUUACUCUUUGGGAGGCCGAGGUGGGCGGAUCACCUGAGGUCGGGAGUUGGAGACCAGCCUGACCAACAUGGAGAAACCCCGUCUCUACUAAAAAUACAAAAUUAACCAGGCGUGGCGGCGCAUGCCUAUAAUCGCAGCUACUCGGGAGGCUGAGGCAGAAGAAUCGCUUGAACACGGGAGGCAGAAGUUGUGGUGAGCCGAGAUCACGCCAUUGCACUCCAGCCUGGGCGAGAGAGUGAGACACCAUCUCAA